rnacentral:lncRNA from 1 species
AUGGUGAAAAUGAGAGCUGCUUGUCCGGGCACUCCAGGCUAUCUCAUCCUCUCAAUGGUCAUUUCAAUUCCACAAGGUCUUUUGGAACACAGGCUCCUGGCUCCUCCUUUUUCUUGGCUCUGGCACGUCACUGGCUGUGACCGCGGCGACCGUACCUCCAGGAGGAAUCCCAGUGUCCUCUCUGUUGUACCGAGCCUGUGGGGUUCGUUAGUGCUGGUGUGCACUCGCCUGGUUGGGCUGCAUUAUGGGAACAAGAACAGCUUUCACUUCUGGUGGAUCAUGCACUGUAAUGUUCCAGGGGUGCUUGAUGCUUUUGUUUUUAUUCAUUUAUGAGAACAUUUAAUUGUUUCAUUAGAGGCUGUAUUUGUUUAUGUUAAGGUUAAGGUGUAGUUAGAGGCUACUGAGACAGGGGAUCCCCAUAGCUGCUUAACAAAUAGCCUCAUAUGAAAUUCGAAUGAGCAGUCUGUGGCGGACUACAAUAGAAUUUAUGAAAAACUGACGGUAGAGAAUAGAACACAAUAUGUUCUACAAAAUGGACAAUAGAUCAGAAACAGCAGGGCACCUGAACAUGUCAGCACUAGAAUAUGGAGGGGCCUUAGUUGAUGUUUGUGUCAGUGAAUCAGCUUCUAGAAAAACACUGGAACAGCUGCCAAAUUCUACACUGCUAGAUCUAACGCUGCUCUCACUCUCAUGAAUAUUGCAGCAUUGCAGUAUUAUAAAGCAUUCAGUCUGAGGCUGAGCUAGCAUUACCGUAACAGCACUCAGCACAGUAUUGGAAAAUCACGCUUGCUCUGGCCACGGGCAGUAGUAGUGCUACCUUUCACUAACAUACUUCCCCUGUCUCCUGCCAGGGUUGCUUGAGUAGCAGUGAAAGCUAGCAUGGCACGUGUGGGACAUAGAAGCUCAGCAGGCUGUUCGGUCUGGAGCCGCAACCCGGAGAGCUCUGUCUGUCUGUCUGCCGGCCUCUCACACUAUCUGUCUGUCUGUCUGUCUGUCUGUCUGUCUGUCUGUUCAGCUGUUCACGUUCAAGACCCCUGUCUCACUGUCACCACUCUCCCCAUCAUUUAUUCAUCGAGUCACUCUGGCUGGUCCUCACGACGUUGCCUGUCACGCUCCUGUACUCGUUCACCCCUUCUCUUCCUCCUGCAGCUCUCCGGCUUGCUCCUGCUCAUUUUGUAAAGGGGAAAGAUGUGUCUGUGUGUGUCUUAUGGUUUUACAGUUUUACAGUGGCGUCAUGCUGGGGUCACACACUGUGCUACACACAAACACACUGCCAUGAUCUUUUCUCUCUCUCUCACACACAAAACGGACAUACAACUCUCAGGACUAAUUC